AUGGGUAAAUUUAAAUUAAAUGUGAGAGAAGCAAGCCAUAAGCAGUUAAUGGGGAAUGCAGAGAUCCAAAAUAUGAAGAAAAUAUUAGGUCUGCAACAUGAAAAGAAAUUAGGUUUGCCCGACAACUUUUUCAGGACAAUGCAUGAGAUAGCAUUUGCAUCUACUAAUAAGCCAAAGCUACUUAGCCAGAUUAGUGAAAUAGUUCCUUUAAAUGUUGGAAAUGUUCUUGGUACUAAAGACAAUGUUGCAGCAAAGAAGUGGGUAUCACUUAUUGAUGACCAGUAUGUAGCAGCCAAGGUGAUAUGCACGAGCCAAGGUGAUACUGAGGAACUUCUUAGUUCAUACCGAUUACAUGAGUAUAGAGGACAAGUUUGUUAA
rnacentral:rRNA from 1 species